rnacentral:rRNA from 1 species
UUAAGCGACUAAGCGUACACGGUGGAUGCCCUGGCAGUCAGAGGCGAUGAAGGGCGUGCUAAUCUGCGAUAAGCGCCGGUAAGGUGAUAUGAACCGUUAUAACCGGCGAUACCCGAAUGGGGAAACCCAGUGUGAUUCGUCACACUAUCAUUAACUGAAUCCAUAGGUUAAUGAGGCGAACCGGGGGAACUGAAACAUCUAAGUACCCCGAGGAAAAGAAAUCAACCGAGAUUCCCCCAGUAGCGGCGAGCGAACGGGGAGGAGCCCAGAGCCUGAAUCAGCAUGUGUGUUAGUGGAAGCGUCUGGAAAGGCGCGCGAUACAGGGUGACAGCCCCGUACACAAAAGCGCAUGUGCUGUGAGCUCGAUGAGUAGGGCGGGACACGUGGUAUCCUGUCUGAAUAUGGGGGGGACCAUCCUCCAAGGCUAAAUACUCCUGACUGACCGAUAGUGAACCAGUACCGUGAGGGAAAGGCGAAAAGAACCCCGGCGAGGGGAGUGAAAAAGAACCUGAAACCGUGUACGUACAAGCAGUGGGAGCCCCACCACCAAAGCAUUCUCUGGUGUUGAAGGCCCUGCAAAGCAGCAUCGCGGUGGCGGAGCGUCGUUUGCGACGCCCAACACACAAAACAAGCGGUGAGUGCUUUGGGGUGGGGUGACUGCGUACCUUUUGUAUAAUGGGUCAGCGACUUAUAUUCUGUAGCAAGGUUAACCGUAUAGGGGAGCCGGAGGGAAACCGAGUCUUAACCGGGCGUUAAGUUGCAGGGUAUAGACCCGAAACCCGGUGAUCUAGCCAUGGGCAGGUUGAAGGUUGGGUAACACUAACUGGAGGACCGAACCGACUAAUGUUGAAAAAUUAGCGGAUGACCUGUGGCUGGGGGUGAAAGGCCAAUCAAACCGGGAGAUAGCUGGUUCUCCCCGAAAGCUAUUUAGGUAGCGCCUCGUGAAUUCAUCUCCGGGGGUAGAGCACUGUUUCGGCUAGGGGGCCAUCCCGGCUUACCAACCCGAUGCAAACUGCGAAUACCGGAGAAUGUUAUCACGGGAGACACACGGCGGGUGCUAACGUCCGUCGUGAAGAGGGAAACAACCCAGACCGCCAGCUAAGGUCCCAAAGUCAUGGUUAAGUGGGAAACGAUGUGGGAAGGCCCAGACAGCCAGGAUGUUGGCUUAGAAGCAGCCAUCAUUUAAAGAAAGCGUAAUAGCUCACUGGUCGAGUCGGCCUGCGCGGAAGAUGUAACGGGGCUAAACCAUGCACCGAAGCUGCGGCAGCGAACGUAUCACCCAAGACAACUUUACGGAGUUGACGAUUGACGGAGCGAAGCGACGUCAAAGCGUUCAUUAAAGUCGAGUUGGCUUAGGGAUACGUUCGUUGGGUAGGGGAGCGUUCUGUAAGCCUGUGAAGGUGGCCUGUGAGGGUUGCUGGAGGUAUCAGAAGUGCGAAUGCUGACAUAAGUAACGAUAAAGCGGGUGAAAAGCCCGCUCGCCGGAAGACCAAGGGUUCCUGUCCAACGUUAAUCGGGGCAGGGUGAGUCGACCCCUAAGGCGAGGCCGAAAGGCGUAGUCGAUGGGAAACGGGUUAAUAUUCCCGUACUUGGUGUUACUGCGAAGGGGGGACGGAGAAGGCUAUGUUGGCCGGGCGACGGUUGUCCCGGUUUAAGCGUGUAGGUGUGUGUUCCAGGUAAAUCCGGUUCACUUUAACACUGAGGCGUGAUGACGAGGCACUACGGUGCUGAAGCAACAAAUGCCCUGCUUCCAGGAAAAGCCUCUAAGCAUCAGGUAACACGAAAUCGUACCCCAAACCGACACAGGUGGUCAGGUAGAGAAUACCAAGGCGCUUGAGAGAACUCGGGUGAAGGAACUAGGCAAAAUGGUGCCGUAACUUCGGGAGAAGGCACGCUGAUGGUAGGUGAAGCGACUUGCUCGUGGAGCUGAAAUCAGUCGAAGAUACCAGCUGGCUGCAACUGUUUAUUAAAAACACAGCACUGUGCAAACACGAAAGUGGACGUAUACGGUGUGACGCCUGCCCGGUGCCGGAAGGUUAAUUGAUGGGGUUAUCCGUAAGGAGAAGCUCUUGAUCGAAGCCCCGGUAAACGGCGGCCGUAACUAUAACGGUCCUAAGGUAGCGAAAUUCCUUGUCGGGUAAGUUCCGACCUGCACGAAUGGCGUAAUGAUGGCCAGGCUGUCUCCACCCGAGACUCAGUGAAAUUGAACUCGCUGUGAAGAUGCAGUGUACCCGCGGCAAGACGGAAAGACCCCGUGAACCUUUACUAUAGCUUGACACUGAACACUGGUCCUUGAUGUGUAGGAUAGGUGGGAGGCUUUGAAGUGUGGACGCCAGUUCGCAUGGAGCCAACCUUGAAAUACCACCCUUUAAUGGCUGGUGUUCUAACGUAGACCCGUAAUCCGGGUUGCGGACAGUGUCUGGUGGGUAGUUUGACUGGGGCGGUCUCCUCCCAAAGAGUAACGGAGGAGCACGAAGGUUAGCUAAUCCUGGUCGGACAUCAGGAGGUUAGUGCAAAGGCAUAAGCUAGCUUGACUGCGAGAGUGACGGCUCGGGCAGGUGCGAAAGCAGGUCUUAGUGAUCCGGUGGUUCUGUAUGGAAGGGCCAUCGCUCAACGGAUAAAAGGUACUCCGGGGAUAACAGGCUGAUACCGCCCAAGAGUUCAUAUCGACGGCGGUGUUUGGCACCUCGAUGUCGGCUCAUCACAUCCUGGGGCUGAAGUAGGUCCCAAGGGUAUGGCUGUUCGCCAUUUAAAGUGGUACGCGAGCUGGGUUUAGAACGUCGUGAGACAGUUCGGUCCCUAUCUGCCGUGGGCGCUGGAGAACUGAGGGGGGCUGCUCCUAGUACGAGAGGACCGGAGUGGACGCAUCACUGGUGUUCGGGUUGUCAUGCCAAUGGCACUGCCCGGUAGCUAAAUGCGGAAGAGAUAAGUGCUGAAAGCAUCUAAGCACGAAACUUGCCCCGAGAUGAGUUCUCCCUGAGACUUUAGGUCUCCUGAAGGAACGUUGAAGACGACGACGUUGAUAGGCCGGGUGUGUAAGCGCAGCGAUGCGUUGAGCUAACCGGUACUAAUGAACCGUGAGGCUUAACCUU